AUAUCAGUCAUGCAUAGCAUAUCAAUAAGCGGAGGAAAAGAAACUAACAAGGAUUCCCUUAGUAACGGCGAGUGAAGCGGGAAGAGCUCAAAUUUGAAAUCUUCAAGGUUCUACCUUGACGAAUUGUAGUUUAUAGAAGUGUUUUCUGUUAGUGGAGUGGCAAAAGUUCUUUGGAAUAGGACAUCAUAGAGGGUGAGAAUCCCGUAUUUGGUCAUUCCUCCUAGCGUUGUGAUACACUUUCAACGAGUCGGAUUGUUUGGGAAUGCAGUCCAAAAUGGGUGGUAAAUUUCAUCUAAAGCUAAAUAUUGGCGAGAGACCGAUAGCGAACAAGUACCGUGAGGGAAAGAUGAAAAGAACUUUGAAAAGAGAGUUAAACAGUACGUGAAAUUGUCAAAAGGGAAGCGUUUGACACCAGUGUUGUUUUUCCGAAAAUCAAUUACGAAUGUUUUGUUUUUGAGGAGUUAUGACUUCAUCGGCUUGCUCCUUUCUUUACGAAACUUUCUUAAUGCACUUUUCGGUUAACAAGUCAACAUCAAUUUCUUUUGUUGUAAAAGGGUAUGAGGAAGGUGGCUUUCUUUUCGGAGAAAGUGUUUAUAGCCUUGUGCCUCUGCAGUCGGAGAGAUUGAGGUCUGCAGCGUAGAUCCUUCGGGGUUAGAUACGUUUGUGCUAAGUUAUAGCUUUUCAUAGACAACUUGUUGACUAUGUUUAGUCUUGUAGCUUACUCGCUUAUGCUAUUUUACCUACGCUUAGGAUGUUGAUCUCUCACAGUCGAGC
rnacentral:rRNA from 1 species